CUGGUUUAGGUCAUAAUUUGUUGAUUAUAUGUGCCUUUAUGUUCUGACUGAUACGAGAUAUGAAUUUGUAUGCUCGGUUUUAUUGUGUUAUGCAAGGUGCUUCUAUCAAGUUAAAUGUGUGCAAUGUGAUAUGUUGUGUUUCCAUGAUGUAGAUUUACACAAUGUAGAAGUUAUUCACACGUUCUUUCCAGCUGAAUCUGCAUAGGUAGCCAUCUUAUAGAAUUUGGGUAUGCAUUCCACUCUUGUUCUUUUCCGAACAUAAUUCAUAUAUAAAAAACCAAUAUUGUCAGCUACGUGCCCUUAAUAUUCCUCUAUGCUCUUAGAAUUUUUUAUUGUCUUUAUGAUUUAUUAGGUAACAUAAUUCUAGGACAUAUGAUUGUUAUUCAACCUUAGGUCAAAUAAGUUCCUGGCCACCACGUUUGGUUUCCUCUGUUUGAUGCCUGAAAGCUGAAGGGGCAUUAAUUCUUCAUUUUCUGAAUACAAAACCUUAAGAAAUGGACUGGAGUGAGGGACAAGGAAUAUAAACUUGAUGUGCCUGCUGGGUAGGCAAGCAUGAAGGAAUUAGUGGUCUGUUGUCCUCCUUAGUCCUUUGAAUGGUUCAUUUUCUUUUGGCAUGCAAUGACAUGACUAAUGCCGACAUAUCUUCAUUGUGGGUUUUAUAUUUUGACUAAUCAUGUCAAGUUCCCUUCACUGGAGUAACUAUCGAAGGAAUUAACCAGUUCAUGGUUCCUAUAGCAAGAAAGAAGACAAAUCUGGAUUUCUUUAUGAAGGGGUGGAAGCUGCCCAUGACUUUGCUAUGAAGAAGGUGUUGAACGUGAGGGAGCAAAAUAUUCCAAACUACUCUGAUUCAAUAUUCGGAAAAUGUUUACAAUUUCACAUUCUUCAGCAUGAGCCCAGCAUUUUUUUGGAAGUGCAAACUGCGGUCUAGACACACUGCCUUGGAAGUUCUCACAAAACCAAUGCUUGUGAGAGAACUCUAACCUUGUGGGUUCUUGCUUAUUGUGAGGGAACUCUGAAUUUCUUGGUGGCUGAUGGUGCUUGGUCGCACUCUUGACUGGAAGACACACAAACAUUAGCUUGUUUCCCCGAAGUUGAGAGUGGUGCAGGCCUCGGUCUCCUACAACCCUGCUAUGACUCUGCGUUUACGUGUUUCCACUUUGUAAUCCGUCUGUAAUAGGUUGGCUUGGAAACAGAGGAUCACUACUAGAAGAAUCCGUGAUGCCGAACUUUCAACGCAGGCGAGGAGCAGCUGCCCAUGUCUGAAGCUGCUCAUCUUGCUGGAACCGGAACAGUUUGCAUCCCUCCAUUAUUCGCCAUGUACGCUGCGCACUCCUAGUCCUGGUUUUCAGCUAGCAGAGGAUCAGAUCGAACUUAAGGUAGCAGGGAGAUUUUCUAGUGAUUUUAACAUCUGUUAUCUGUUGAUGCUCAAUUUUAUUUAUUCUGGAUUUUAUGCCUUGUAAUGUUACAUACAGACAGAUUCAAAAGGCUUCAUCUGCAUGCGGAUUUGUUGGUGUAGUUUAUUUUAGCUCGGGUGACCAGCAGACAGGGAUGGUUUGGCCCCUGUAGUCAGUUACAGAGGUACACGGUCUUUCAUCUGUAUGCAUGUUCCCCGUUCUUUAUAUGAAGUGCUACUUUGCUUUUCUGAUUUGGAAA